GCCUCGGUGGUGGAACUGGUAGACGCAGCGGACUCAAAAUCCGCCGCCGCAAGGCGUGCCGGUUCGAUUCCGGCCCGAGGCACCA
rnacentral:tRNA from 2 species